GACGAACCGUCCGAACGUUAUUCGGAAUCACUGGGCUUAAAGGGUGCGUAGGCGGCGCAGAAAGUAGGGUGUGAAAUCCCUCGGCUUAACCGAGGAACUGCGCCCCAAACUACUGUGCUCGAGGGAGAUAGAGGUGAGCGGAACUUAGGGUGGAGCGGUGAAAUGCGUUGAUAUCCUAAGGAACACCGGUGGCGAAAGCGGCUCACUGGAUCUCUUCUGACGCUGAGGCACGAAAGCUAGGGUAGCGAACGGG
rnacentral:rRNA from 1 species